GCGCAGCAGUCGAGAAUCUUCCGCAAUGGACGAAAGUCUGACGGAGCGACGCCGCGUGAUGGACGAAGUGGUUCGCCACGUAAACAUCCUUUUAUGAGGGGACGAAAUUAUUGACGGUACCUCAUGAAUAAGGGGCUCCUAACUCUGUGCCAGCAGGAGCGGUAAUACAGAGGCCCCAAGCAUUAUCCGGAAUCACUGGGCGUAAAGGGUGUCGAGGCGGUUAUGUUAGUCGUUCGUAAAAUCCGUGAGCUCAACUUACGGCCCGCGAGCGAAACGGCAUAACUAGAGGUUGGAAGAGGUGCAUGGAACUCACGGUGUAGGGGUGAAAUCCGUUGAUAUCGUGGGGAACACCAAAGGCGAAGGCAGUGCACUGGUCCAAAUCUGACGCUCACACACGAAAGCCAGGGUAGCGAACGGGAUUAGAUACCCCUGUAGU
rnacentral:rRNA from 1 species